rnacentral:tRNA from 1 species
GGAGGAAUACCCAAGUCCGGCUGAAGGGAUCGGUCUUGAAAACCGACAGGGGUGUCAAAACCCGCAGGGGUUCGAAUCCCCUUUCCUCCUCCA